rnacentral:other from 2 species
GUUGACCUUACAGCAAACCCUACAGUCAUUUCAUAAGAAAAACUACCGUCAACUG